rnacentral:tRNA from 1 species
GGGGUUGUAACUCAGUGGCUGAGCACUUGCUUCGCAUGCAUGAGGCACUGGGUUCAAUCCUCAGCACCACA